rnacentral:rRNA from 1 species
AGGUCCCACUUACCAGGUCUAAGGUAGCCUACCUAGACUCGCGUGUCCAUGAACCAAGAAACGUGUUUCGAGGGAACCCAGAUGAGUAAAACGAAAGUCUUAGUGGAAGAGGAAGGAUCCUUACGUUGCUGCGGCUCGGUUUAGAGGGGUAGCACAUCGUCGGCGGAGGACCUGGUUGGGAGAGCUGAAAGAGGUCGAACGGCUGCCACCUCCGCCCGGUCUAGGCCACGGAUCGACCCGGUAACGCGGGUCACCUCUAGGUCUAGGUCGAGGACUGGUAGAACAGUGGCCGCCGGACUAACGGGGCCGCCUGGAGGGGACAAGACUCGACGCUGGAACACGCCUGUUCAAGAGGUUCCAUGAGAGGAGGCUGCAGGUGUCUUGUUGGAACGGGGUAGGAAACAGGAUGGGGUUGGUCGGGUAAGGUGUACAGCGGGCGUGGGGACGCGUAGAUCGAGGCGGUGGACCCUUGCCGCCUCUUAUUUUGAGGUUAGAAGUCCAGACUAGAGAGGGUCGUGUUCUUCGAGCUACUUGUUAUUCGUGAUCAUUGUCUCCGUUUCCGAUAUCGAAAAGAUAAACCGGUUUUUUUUCCGAUAUUGAAAAGACAACACAUGGUAGUUCAUGGUUUUCAACUACGUCAAAGAUCACCGCUACGAACAACUUGCCAGUAAUAAGGUGAGGUAGUAUAAAUCAGAACGGACACUACAUGGUUUUUACUAGGAAAGUACGAUACAUUGUGAACUAUAAAACUGGACCCUAGUACGUUAAACUUUACAUACAUAUCAAUGCUAAACUUCACCUG